AUUCAAACACACUCCCUGCAGUUUCGACCCAUGAAAAUUUAAAGCUUCUUCUUGCUCUUCGAUACCACUUAAUUACUCUCAACUUCAUUACCUCUAUCUCUUUUCCUGUCUCACAAAUACUUUACUGAAUUUUGUAUGCAUCAUCAUCGCAGACACAUAUCUACACUCGACUAUUCCAUUAUGCAGAUAUCGAAGCAAUGCUAUUAGUGUUGAUCUAUCUGGUGAACUUAGCAUAAUGAUAUCUCCUCUCAAACGGAUAUCUCCACAUCUCAAGUACUCGUCUAUAGCCACCAACAAGACAAGCAUUCAUCCUAGAACAACUAGUUUGAAGGUCGAGCACUUUCAGAUCAAGUUAUCAGAUGAUGCUCUGCUGCUAUUGACAUGGCCUAGAAUGAUACUGAGCCCAGGAUAUCCUUUCGCAGAUAAUUUUCGUCUGUAUCACCACUAUACAGACGAUACCAUAUGCUCGCUCAAUUUCUGGCUUGAUGAUACCAUAUGCUCGUUCCUCCGCCAAUACGAGUAUUUAAUUACACUAGAGGAGGACUAAUUGAUUUGAGUAGUCGGUCCAAAAUGCCUCCUCAGUAUGCUGCAACUGCCUCAGCCAUAGGUACACGCGAGAUGCCCAAGGUUUAUGCACGUGUAAAUGUCAUAAUAUCUGCGCCAAAGGAAAAGGCAAUUGCUAUGGACAUGCUAGCUCAUGCGGACAUGUUUAUUCCGCAUGAGCUUUCCUCCAGGUUGACUCAUAUGACAGAGCAGUCCCGUAGAAUCCAUAGACGAAUUGGGGUGCCCUCCAACUCGAUACUUUUCUUUAGUGACGAAUUAUAUGAAUGUUUGCACGGUCUAAAAAAUGGGAGUAACAAGCAUUUUGGUGGAUAAUGAUUUAAUGAGGGUAACCCUAGGAGCUUUCAGAGAGGUUUUAUGAUGACAUUCAAAUGUAACCUUAUCAUCCUCUAGUUUAUAUUUCAAUAGUUGAUUAUUAAAGAGCGAAAUUCAAAUCUGUAGCUGGUAAGAUUAGAUGUCACGAAAUACACUACUUUUCUGAGGCAGUAGUUUACACUGGCAAGGACAUUUUACGAGGUUCAUAUGUCGUUGAUUUU